UUUUUCCUUCUUUUGGUUUUUUUUUGGGGGGUU
rnacentral:sRNA from 1 species